rnacentral:rRNA from 1 species
GGAGGGGGAUAACUACUGGAAACGGUAGCUAAUACCGCAUAACGUCGCAGGACCAAAGUGGGGGACCUUCGGGCCUCAUGCCAUCAGAUGAACCCAGAUGGGAUUAGCUAGUAGGUGGGGUAAUGGCUCACCUAGGCGACGAUCCCUAGCUGGUCUGAGAGGAUGACCAGCCACACUGGAACUGAGACACGGUCCAGACUCCUACGGGAGGCAGCAGUGGGGAAUAUUGCACAAUGGGCGCAAGCCUGAUGCAGCCAUGCCGCGUGUAUGAAGAAGGCCUUCGGGUUGUAAAGUACUUUCAGUAGGGAGGAAGGUGUGAGCGUUAAUAGCGU